AGUGAACGCUGGCGGUAGGCCUAACACAUGCAAGUCGAACGGCAGCACAGUAAGAGCUUGCUCUUACGGGUGGCGAGUGGCGGACGGGUGAGGAAUACAUCGGAAUCUACUUUUUCGUGGGGGAUAACGUAGGGAAACUUACGCUAAUACCGCAUACGACCUACGGGUGAAAGCAGGGGAUCUUCGGACCUUGCGCGAUUGAAUGAGCCGAUGUCGGAUUAGCUAGUUGGCGGGGUAAAGGCCCACCAAGGCGACGAUCCGUAGCUGGUCUGAGAGGAUGAUCGGCCACACUGGAACUGGGACACGGUCCAGACUCCUACGGGAGGCAGCAGUGGGGAAUAUUGGACAAUGGGCGCAAGCCUGAUCCAGCCAUACCGCGUGGGUGAAGAAGGCCUUCGGGUUGUAAAGCCCUUUUGUUGGGAAAGAAAAGCAGCAGGUUAAUACCCCGCUGUUCUGACGGUACCCAAAGAACAAGCACCGGCUAACUUCGUG
rnacentral:rRNA from 1 species